rnacentral:rRNA from 1 species
AUUGAACGCUGGCGGCAGGCCUAACACAUGCAAGUCGAGCGGGGUUUUCGGACCUAGCGGCGGACGGGUGAGUAAUGCGUAGGAAGCUACCCGAUAGAGGGGGAUACCAGUUGGAAACGACUGUUAAUACCGCAUAAUGUCUACGGACCAAAGUGUGGGACCUUCGGGCCACAUGCUAUCGGAUGCGCCUACGUGGGAUUAGCUAGUUGGUGGGGUAAUGGCUCACCAAGGCGACGAUCCCUAGCUGGUUUGAGAGGAUGAUCAGCCACACUGGAACUGAGACACGGUCCAGACUCCUACGGGAGGCAGCAGUGGGGAAUAUUGGACAAUGGGCGCAAGCCUGAUCCAGCCAUGCCGCGUGUGUGAAGAAGGCCUUCGGGUUGUAAAGCACUUUCAGUAGGGAGGAAGGGUUAAGUGUUAAUAGUACUUAACUUUGACGUUACCUACAGAAGAAGCACCGGCUAACUCUGUGCCAGCAGCCGCGGUAAUAC